rnacentral:lncRNA from 1 species
UGUUCUUCAAACCCAGAAAAUAUUCUAAGUGUCCAGAAAAUAUUAUUUUGGAAAAUGUCAGGCCUUAUAUCUCGGUUAUCUUUAAUGUGUUUUGUGUUCUAAAGGUUGUUAUGUGUAGCUUGUUAUGUGGUAUUUAACCUCCAAAACGAAUCAGGUCCAUAUAUAUUAUGGAUUAAGAGUUAUUUAAGGUCAAACUGGGUUGACCGGCAUUGACCGGAAAAUUCUGGGCAGCCCAGAAUUUUCUAAGUGUUGAUUUUUCUGACAAGGUUUGACGUUGUAGUCCUACAUGUUUUCUACACACUGGAAGUGAUAGAGCACAAAAAUGUUACACGAUCACCAAGUUAUAGAGGUCCAAAGUAGGCACCUCGAAGCUGUUUUUCGUGAAGAACAGCUUUGGCAGCUACUUUGAGGUUCGAUUUCUCCCAGAUCUGAUGUUUUUUAGAGGUCAUGUUUGUUGGAUCUUGUAUUCUUGCAUUUCCUCUACAAGACCCAAUUUAUAGAUUGUCCAAAUUCGUUAAGAUGACAGAGUUAUUCACGGUCAAAGUAGGCCACUCGGUUCUGCCUUAUGAAGAUCUGGGUAGGCUCAAGAACACCUAUAGCGACGGUUCUGUCACUAUAGGGGCCUUUAGCGACAGUUUUAAUUAUUUUAAUUUCUGAUUUUCCGAAAAUUAAUUUAAAAAUUAGAAAAAUUAGUUUUUAAUUAUUAAAAAUACCAAAUAAAUUAUGAAAAAUUAUUUUAAAGUCUGAAAAAUAGUUUUUAAUUAU